AAAAAAAGGAUAGCGAUUAAGGUAAUCAUUCUUUCUUCUCUAUUUUAAUUUUUAGAUCUAAAAUAUUUAAUUCAUGGCAUGUUAAACGAUCCGUAGAUGAUUGUAGGAUUAGAUCCGAGCAUGAAUAAAAUUAAAAUUAUUUUAUAUUUAUCUUUCUGCUGCAUAGUUUUCAUAAGAUAAAAUUUUUGCAUGCUAAUCACCUAGAACUCCAACAUUAGAGA
rnacentral:lncRNA from 1 species